GCCGAUGUAGCUCAGUGGUAGAGCAACUCCAUGGUAAGGAGUAGGUCGUGGGUUCAACUCCCACCAUCGGCU
rnacentral:tRNA from 2 species